GAUGAAGAACGUAGCGAAAUGCGAUAAUUAAUGUGAAUUGCAGAAUUUAGUGAAUCAUCGAAUCUUUGAACGCACAUUGCGCCUUCUGGUAUUCCGGAAGGCAUGCCUGUUCGAGAGUCAUUAACAACCGUUUCGAUCCCUUUCUUUCAGAAAUUACAAAGAGGAAAAGGGUUUGGUUAUGGUGGAGGAGGGAAAGGGAGCGUUUAGCCUGUAAAAAAAGAGGCUGUGUUCCGCCUCCCCCCCAAAAUUGUACAGGCGGUCGUGUGCGCCCACGCAUCGAGGUGUUGUAAAAGCUGCCACGGCACUUUUCACCUGUGCAGUGCGAGAUUGGCCAGCCGGUUUAAAAACCCCUCCAAACAAUCAAAGGUUGACCUCGGAUCAGGUAGGGAUACCCGCUGAACUUAAGCAUAUCAAUAAGCGGAGGA
rnacentral:misc_RNA from 1 species